rnacentral:rRNA from 1 species
UUGUGGAGAACAAAGAUUCCAUCAAAAAUUAAAAUGUUUCUCUGGCUGAUGACUAGAAGGAGUAUAUUAACAAAAGAUAACUUGCUGAAAAAAGGAUGGAAAGGGCCAAAAGAAUGCAUAUAUUGUGGGAAAGAAGAAUCGAUUGAUCAUUUAUUUUUUGACUGCUCUGCGGCCAGGUUGGUCUGGAGUCUGAUCAAGUGCGCAUUUGAUCUUAGGCGAUGUCUCACUAACUUUUUGUUGAUUUCCUGGGAAGGUGGCUGA